GGCUGGUCCGAUGGCAGUGGGUUAUCAGAACUUACUAACAUUAGUGUCACUAAAGUUGGUGACACCCCCCCCCUGCUAAAUUUGACUGGCUUUAA
ensembl:misc_RNA Y_RNA Y RNA